rnacentral:rRNA from 1 species
AUUGAACGCUGAUGGCAUGCUUUACACAUGCCAGUCGAACGGCAGCGCGGGCUUCGGCCUGGCGGCGAGUGGCGAACGGGUGAGUAAUGCAUCGGAACGUGCCCAGUAGUGGGGGAUAGCCCGGCGAAAGCCGGAUUAAUACCGCAUACGACCUGAGGGUGAAAGCGGGGGACCGAAAGGCCUCGCGCUAUUGGAGCGGCCGAUGUCGGAUUAGCUAGUUGGUGGGGUAAAGGCUUACCAAGGCGACGAUCCGUAGCUGGUCUGAGAGGACGACCAGCCACACUGGGACUGAGACACGGCCCAGACUCCUACGGGAGGCAGCAGUGGGGAAUUUUGGACAAUGGGGGCAACCCUGAUCCAGCCAUGCCGCGUGCGGGAAGAAGGCCUUCGGGUUGUAAACCGCUUUUGUUCGGGAAGAAAUCCUCUGGGCUAAUACCCCGGGGGGAUGACGGUACCGGAAGAAUAAGCACCGGCUAACUACGUG